UACGGAGGGUGCAAGCGUUGUCCGGAAUCACUGGGCGUAAAGGGCGCGUAGGCGGCUCAUGAAGGCUGUGGUGAAAGUCCGGGGCUCAACCUCGGAUCGGCCGUGGCGACUCGUGGGCUGGAGCACUGUAGAGGAGAGUGGAAUUCCCGGUGUAGCGGUGAAAUGCGCAGAUAUCGGGAAGAACACCCGUGGCGAAGGCGGCUCUCUGGGACGGUACUGACGCUGAGACGCGAAAGCGUGGGGAGCGAACAGG
rnacentral:rRNA from 1 species